AGUCAGGGAGCGUCAGCCGUGAUUAACCGCGCCUCAGAUCCACAAUCAAUGACCAGAAGAGCAAGUGACAGCUUAAUACAAUGCAAACGAGGACUUGAUUCUGUUACCCGUGACAAGAUGGAGGGACUCUCCGGUUCUCCGGCUGCGUCGCCAUGGAUACGGACACUGCUUUCCGCCCGGGGGAGAAGCCCAUUAUAACCUCCCCCUGUCAACGCUGUAGCAACCUGAAGCAAGACCAUUAUCCGAGUCACCUGGGGGCAGGAAUUUCAUCAUCUGGUUCGUUUGCUCCGGAGAACAAAAAAAGAAGUGUCCCGUUCCUUUUGGUCGACAAUAUCAAGAGGUGGAGAUAAAGAAUGGAUGAGAGGGGUGACAGCAAACAGAGAGACCCAAUUAUAACCCAAGUACAAGGCCCUCUGGGAAUUCUCUACCGCGAUGGCGACUACACACAACGGCGAGGAUGACAUUUCUGGGAGCGAAGGAAUAAAACUU